rnacentral:rRNA from 1 species
AGAGUUUGAUCCUGGCUCAGGAUGAACGCUGGCGGCGUGCCUAAUACAUGCAAGUCGAGCGAACGGACGAGAAGCUUGCUUCUCUGAUGUUAGCGGCGGACGGGUGAGUAACACGUGGAUAACCUACCUAUAAGACUGGGAUAACUUCGGGAAACCGGAGCUAAUACCGGAUAAUAUUUUGAACCGCAUGGUUCAAAAGUGAAAGACGGUCUUGCUGUCACUUAUAGAUGGAUCCGCGCUGCAUUAGCUAGUUGGUAAGGUAACGGCUUACCAAGGCAACGAUGCAUAGCCGACCUGAGAGGGUGAUCGGCCACACUGGAACUGAGACACGGUCCAGACUCCUACGGGAGGCAGCAGUAGGGAAUCUUCCGCAAUGGGCGAAAGCCUGACGGAGCAACGCCGCGUGAGUGAUGAAGGUCUUCGGAUCGUAAAACUCUGUUAUUAGGGAAGAACAUAUGUGUAAGUAACUGUGCACAUCUUGACGGUACCUAAUCAGAAAGCCACGGCUAACUACGUGCCAGCAGCCGCGGUAAUACGUAGGUGGCAAGCGUUAUCCGGAAUUAUUGGGCGUAAAGCGCGCGUAGGCGGUUUUUUAAGUCUGAUGUGAAAGCCCACGGCUCAACCGUGGAGGGUCAUUGGAAACUGGAAAACUUGAGUGCAGAAGAGGAAAGUGGAAUUCCAUGUGUAGCGGUGAAAUGCGCAGAGAUAUGGAGGAACACCAGUGGCGAAGGCGACUUUCUGGUCUGUAACUGACGCUGAUGUGCGAAAGCGUGGGGAUCAAACAGGAUUAGAUACCCUGGUAGUCCACGCCGUAAACGAUGAGUGCUAAGUGUUAGGGGGUUUCCGCCCCUUAGUGCUGCAGCUAACGCAUUAAGCACUCCGCCUGGGGAGUACGACCGCAAGGUUGAAACUCAAAGGAAUUGACGGGGACCC